rnacentral:tRNA from 1 species
AUCAGCGUCGCGUAGUGGGUAAGGAACUGGGCUUGUAACCGAAAGGUCACAGGUUCGAUUCCUGCAUUGUUG